GCCUCCAUAGCUCAAUUGGCAGAGCAGCGGUUUUGUAAACCGCAGGUUGUUGGUUCGACCCCGACUGGAGGCU
rnacentral:tRNA from 1 species